CCUACGGGAGGCAGCAGUGGGGAAUUUUGGACAAUGGGCGCAAGCCUGAUCCAGCAAUGCCGCGUGCAGGAUGAAGGCCUUCGGGUUGUAAACUGCUUUUGUACGGAACGAAACGGUGAGCUCUAAUACAGUUUGCUAAUGACGGUACCGUAAGAAUAAGCACCGGCUAACUACGUGCCAGCAGCCGCGGUAAUACGUAGGGUGCGAGCGUUAAUCGGAAUUACUGGGCGUAAAGCGUGCGCAGGCGGUGAUGUAAGACAGAUGUGAAAUGCCCGGGCUCAACCUGGGACCUGCAUUUGUGACUGCAUCGCUAGAGUACGGUAGAGGGGGAUGGAAUUCCGCGUGUAGCAGUGAAAUGCGUAGAUAUGCGGAGGAACACCGAUGGCGAAGGCAAUCCCCUGGACCUGUACUGACGCUCAUGCACGAAAGCGUGGGGAGCAAACAGGAUUAGAUACCCUGGUAGUCCACGCCCUAAACGAUGUCAACUGGUUGUUGGGUCUUCACUGACUCAGUAACGAAGCUAACGCGUGAAGUUGACCGCCUGGGGAGUACGGCCGCGAAGGUUGAAACUCAAAUGAAUUGACGG
rnacentral:rRNA from 1 species